rnacentral:rRNA from 1 species
AUUGAACGCUGGCGGCAUGCCUUACACAUGCAAGUCGAACGGUAACAGGUCUUCGGAUGCUGACGAGUGGCGAACGGGUGAGUAAUACAUCGGAACGUGCCCGAUCGUGGGGGAUAACGAGGCGAAAGCUUUGCUAAUACCGCAUACGAUCUACGGAUGAAAGCGGGGGAUCUUCGGACCUCGCGCGGACGGAGCGGCCGAUGGCAGAUUAGGUAGUUGGUGGGAUAAAAGCUUACCAAGCCGACGAUCUGUAGCUGGUCUGAGAGGAUGAUCAGCCACACUGGGACUGAGACACGGCCCAGACUCCUACGGGAGGCAGCAGUGGGGAAUUUUGGACAAUGGGCGAAAGCCUGAUCCAGCCAUGCCGCGUGCAGGAUGAAGGCCUUCGGGUUGUAAACUGCUUUUGUACGGAACGAAAAGCCUCUUUCUAAUAAAGAGAGGUCAUGACGGUACCGGAAGAAUAAGCACCGGCUAACUACGUG